rnacentral:misc_RNA from 1 species
GCUGAUCUCCUGAUACAGUGUAGGUGGAUAACAGAGAGAGCACGUUGGUGGAGUGAUAAAAGACGUCAAAGUACGGACAGGGGUGUUGGUGACAUGCGUGAGGGGGUGGCAGGAUGGGGAAGCCUGUGCCGCGCGUUCUGGUUCUGUUGUUCCUGCUCUCCGUACUGACCAUGGUGUUCAUCACAAAGUGGGGCCUGGUGAUAGGACAACAUCUCAACCACCGUCCCCCAGCAAACUCGACACACUCGAGAGUUAUUCCAGGCGGCCAUCGAAGAAUCCGAGAAAAGGCACCAGACCAGGAUAGAAGAGUUGCAGAAAAAAAUUGAGGAACUACAGGAGCUCUUGAAUUCUCAGAGAGUACAACGAGAAAACCUUACAAACUUGUCAGAGAGUAAAGGCAGUGAAAUUCAGAAAUACCUCAAUGAUAAAGUUCAUGUUUCUGAAAUUUUACAUGGGGUGGAGAUGAAAAAUGAGUAUGAACUUACUGCAUUUAACAGAUUCACUCUGUACAAGGUGUACCCUGUUAAUCCUGGACUAGGAAAAAGAGUGGUGGAGAAACCAAUCGGGGCGAGGCGCAGAGACCUGAAUGAUGUCAUCACAUACAGUGUCAAUAUUCUCAAUGAACAAAGGAAAAAUGCAUCUAAGUAUUUCACUGUGAGUGAUUUCAUAGAAGGCAUUUACAGAACAGAACCAUCCUCAGGGACUCACUAUGAACUUUAUUUCAGAAAUCUCAAUACAAAGGAAUCGGGGAGAUACUCCAAGGUGGUCAUCCUCAAACCUUUCGGUCCACUUAUACCUGCCAUCAACACGACAGUUAGGACUAAAGAGACCUGGAUAAAUAUCAUACUGCCAUUAAAAGGAAGAUUAGAUUCUUUUGAAGUAUUUAUGAGGAACUUUGCAGAUGUUUGUAUCAUGAUAGACAAACGAAUUUACUUAAGCAUUGUUUAUUUUGGUCAGGAAGGGUUGGAUGAGGUAAAAAAUAUAACAAAAACCAUCAUUCAUACACAUGGGUAUAGAUAUAUCAGGGUCAUUAAUGUGAACGAGGAGUUUAACAGAGGGCGCGGCCUUCAGAUCGGGAUGGAGUAUUGGAAGGGCAAGGACACUUUAGUCUUCAUGUGUGAUGUGGACGUAAUAUUUAACUCAGAAUUCCUGGAGAGGUGUCGUCUCAAUGCUGAAAAACAGAAAAAAGUGUACUACCCAAUAUUGUUCAGUUUGUUUAAUCCCAAACUGGUAUAUUCCAUGGAAAAUAAGGACCAUCCCAUCCAUCAAGAGGCAGCUAGUGAUUUCUAAGAAAACAGGAUUCUGGAGAGAUUUUGGAUACGGAAUGACAUGUCAGUACCUCUCAGACUUUAAAGCUGUGAAGGGGUUCAGGGAGGGAAUAGUUGGGUGGGGUGGGGAGGAUGUGUUUCUGUAUAAGAAGUAUGUCCGUAGCAAUAUGACUGUGGUUCGGGCCACUGACCCAGGGAUCUUCCACCUGUGGCACGACAAGGAGUGCCCCAUCAAUCUGUCACCGGACCAGUACCGCGGCUGUAUACGCUCCAAAUCUCUCAGUGAGGCCUUCACAUGCACAGCUGGGCAUUCUUGCCUUCAAAGACCAAAUAGACAUCCUAAAACUCCUAACAAAGAAAUAGUCUUAUUUAUGCAUAUGGUUUUUAUGUCAUUAAUAGGUUAUUUUUUGAUAAUCAAAAGCAGUUUUUACAAAAAAUUUUAAUUGGUCAGAAAUAUGAAAAGUAUUUAGGUCAUAACCUGCAUGCUUUUGUGAAUUCACAGAUAAUACAGGUAGAACCUAAACUGAUAAAUAUCAUUUUGGGUCAUUCAUGUUCUCUCUUUUUCAAAGCAUAAUUGACGGGGUUUUAUGAUUUUAAUUGGGUUUUAUGAAGCUACAUAUAAGGUGUAGCACAGCAUGUGUACAAGGAUUCAUGUUCUUUGUAUAUUUUGAGUACAACAUACAAAAGGCUUGGAAAAAGCUGAUCAUAAGAAUACCCCAGCAUCUUCACAAUAGGACUGCACUGGCUACAGUCAUGUAUUUUUGAAGUCUUAGGGCAGCUAUACUUUUGAAUGGCCUUGUUGUUUAACUUUUUGGUGUCUUUUUUAUUGAUUACUUGAUAUCAAACUUUCUAAGAACAAAUUCAGAUCCAUAUUCACAGUGUGUUCUCGGAGUACGUGUCGACAUAUCUGUAGUAUACCUCGUGGACAGCAAUCAAGAUUCAAUAGGUUGUACAUGUAUUUCUACAUGAAUUUGUGAUGUUUGCCAAACUUUCUAUAUGUGUGAUGUUUUUUACAAUUUAUUUGAUUGUUUUAACUGGACACUGCCAAAAUGCCAGCAUUAAUGCAGUGUGUAAUGAACUGUUUUGGUCUGUGUUUAUAUGUUUCUUGAAUUCCUGAAUGAUUUUUUUUUUAAAUUUGUAAUAUUUAUUCAACAUUAAAAUCAGCAAGGAAUCACUAAUAAUGUCAGAAACCCAAGGUCAGUCUGGAUACCAGUAUGGUUUCUACUACAAUAUGUACUGUGUUUGCUAUAUUUAUAUACUGGUCAUGAGUUACAAAGGUGAAACCUUUAAUAGGAUACAUUUGAAUUUACAACUGUUAGUCUAAAUGGGUUUUUUUUUGGUUGCUGUUGGUAUUCUUAUACUUUUCACUCUUGUGGAAGUAAAUUUGAUGUAAACAUGUCUUUUUACACUUUAGCUCUGUACGUCAUGAUAUUUAUGUACUGAUUAUGUGUUCAGAAACAUUGAAAGCACAUACGAGUAUGUCUGGCAGCACGUUUUUUUCUGUGUGAAUAAUAUUGAAAAAUAAUUAAAAACGUACCUCUAAGUGUC